UACGGAGGGUGCGAGCGUUGUCCGGAAUCAUUGGGCGUAAAGGGCGCGUAGGUGGCCCGGUCAGCGUGCGGUGAAAGCUCGGGGCUCAACCCCGAGUCGGCCGUGCGAACUGCUGGGCUUGAGCACUGUAGAGGCAGGCGGAAUUCCGGGUGUAGCGGUGGAAUGCGUAGAGAUCCGGAAGAACACCGAUGGCGAAGGCAACCACCUGGGCCUGCACUGACGCUGAGGUACGAAAGCGUGGGGAGCAAACAGG
rnacentral:rRNA from 1 species